rnacentral:rRNA from 1 species
GAUGAACGCUGGCGGCGUGCCUAAUACAUGCAAGUCGAGCGAACAGACGAGGAGCUUGCUCCUCUGACGUUAGCGGCGGACGGGUGAGUAACACGUGGAUAACCUACCUAUAAGACUGGGAUAACUUCGGGAAACCGGAGCUAAUACCGGAUAAUAUAUUGAACCGCAUGGUUCAAUAGUGAAAGACGGUUUUGCUGUCACUUAUAGAUGGAUCCGCGCCGCAUUAGCUAGUUGGUAAGGUAACGGCUUACCAAGGCGACGAUGCGUAGCCGACCUGAGAGGGUGAUCGGCCACAUGUGAACUGGGACCGGGUCCAGACUCCUAGGGGGGGCAGCAGUAGGGAAUCUCCCGCAAUGGGCGAAAGCCUGAGGGGGCAACGCCGCGUGAGUGAUGAAGGUCUUCGGAUCGUAAAACUCUUUUAUUAGGGAAGAAAAAAUGUUAAAGUAACUAUGCACGUCUUGACGGUACCUAAUCAAAAAGCCACGGCUAACUACGU